AUUGAACGCUAGCGGGAUGCUUUACACAUGCAAGUCGAACGGCAGCGCGGACUUCGGUCUGGCGGCGAGUGGCGAACGGGUGAGUAAUGUAUCGGAACGUGCCCAGUAGCGGGGGAUAACUACGCGAAAGCGUAGCUAAUACCGCAUACGCCCUACGGGGGAAAGCAGGGGAUCGUAAGACCUUGCACUAUUGGAGCGGCCGAUAUCGGAUUAGCUAGUUGGUGAGGUAACGGCUCACCAAGGCGACGAUCCGUAGCUGGUUUGAGAGGACGACCAGCCACACUGGGACUGAGACACGGCCCAGACUCCUACGGGAGGCAGCAGUGGGGAAUUUUGGACAAUGGGGGCAACCUUGACCCAGCCAUCCCGCGUGUGCGAUGAAGGCCUUCGGGUUGUAAAGCACUUUUGGCAGGAAAGAAACGUCGCGGGCUAAUACCCCGUGGAACUGACGGUACCUGCAGAAUAAGCACCGGCUAACUACGUG
rnacentral:rRNA from 1 species